GCUGGGGAGGACGGCCUUAGGAUUGCAGAUCCCAGGCCGCCCCGCAGCGUCCUCCAGGGAACGCGCAGCGGUCCUGUGAUCUUCUACCCACCUGGCUACACACAGAAGAUGACCGUGGUCCUUGUCUUCUCUGACUACCUAGACCUCUUGUUUUCUCAUCUCACUUGCUCCAGGAAAUAAGUAGAUAAUGGUUAACAUUUGAACGGUGGACCACGUGUGGCUUUAAGCACUUAAUUGUAUUAGCUUAUUAUCCUCAUUUCACAGAUGAAGUAAAUGAAAUACAGAAAGGUCUUGUGAUUUGAUCAAGGCUAAAGAUGUGGUGGAGCCAGGAUUUAAACAGAGAUAUGCUGUGUGCCAUCUCCUGAACACGGGGCUCUUAACCUCCAGUGAGUGGUUCUCAAAGUGUGAGCCCAGCAGCUUCAGCAUCACCCAGGAGAGAGCUGGAAAUGCAAACUUCAAAUUCUCAGACUCCACGCCAGACCUACUGAAUUAAAAUUCUGUGGGUGCAGCCAGCAGUCUUUCAACAAAUGGCUCCUAGAUGAUUUUGAUGCUUUUCUAAAGUCUGACAAUCACUUCUCAGGAGAUUUAGAACUGAACUGUUGAGAGCUUGUUCAUGUUUCCCCAGCAAACAGGAAUCAUUCACGUAGUUAUUCAGGAAAGCCAAGGGUCCAAGGCCUGAAGUCAUGCAGCUGGACAAAGCCCACCUGCAUCUGUCUGACUCCAUACACUCCAGUGUAAGUGUUCCUCCACAUGAUGUGCAGCUUUCCUCCACAUGGUGGCUCAGGGACC